CCUACGGGUGGCAGCAGUGGGGAAUAUUGGACUAUGGGGGCAACCCUGAUCCAGCCAUGCCGCGUGUGUGAAGAAGGCCCUCGGGUUGUAAAGCACUUUCAGUGAGGAAGAACGCCUGGUGGUUAAUACCCAUCAGGAAAGACAUCACUCACAGAAGAAGCACCGGCUAACUCCGUGCCAGCAGCCGCGGUAAUACGGAGGGUGCGAGCGUUAAUCGGAAUUACUGGGCGUAAAGCGCGCGUAGGUGGCUUGAUAAGCCGGUUGUGAAAGCCCCGGGCUCAACCUGGGAACGGCAUCCGGAACUGUCAAGCUAGAGUGCAGGAGAGGAAGGUAGAAUUACCGGUGUAGCGGUGAAAUGCGUAGAGAUCGGGAGGAAUACCAGUGGCGAAGGCGGCCUUCUGGACUGACACUGACACUGAGGUGCGAAAGCGUGGGUAGCAAACAGGAUUAGAUACCCCGGUAGUC
rnacentral:rRNA from 1 species